rnacentral:rRNA from 1 species
UACGAAGGGGGCUAGCGUUGCUCGGAAUGACUGGGCGUAAAGGGCGCGUAGGCGGUUUGGUUAGUUAGGCGUGAAAUUCCUGGGCUCAACCUGGGGGCUGCGCUUAAUACAGCCAGACUAGAGUGUGAAAGAGGGUCGUGGAAUUCCCAGUGUAGAGGUGAAAUUCGUAGAUAUUGGGAAGAACACCGGUGGCGAAGGCGGCGACCUGGUUCAUUACUGACGCUGAGGCGCGAAAGCGUGGGGAGCAAACGGG